CAGCCGCCGCGGUAACACGUAGGUGGCAAGCGUUGUCCGGAAUCAUUGGGCGUAAAGGGAGCGCAGGCGGGCCGGUAAGUCUUACUUAAAAGUGCGGGGCUUAACCCCGUGAUGGGAGAGAAACUAUCGGUCUUGAGUACAGGAGAGGAAAGCGGAAUUCCCAGUGUAGCGGUGAAAUGCGUAGAUAUUGGGAAGAACACCAGUGGCGAAGGCGGCUUUCUGGACUGCAACUGACGCUGAGGCUCGAAAGCCAGGGGAGCGAACGGGAUUAGAUACCCCUGUAGUCCCUGUCUCUUAUACC
rnacentral:rRNA from 1 species